GAGAGAGAGAGAGAGAGAGAGGGAGCAGGUGAGCGGAGCAGACAAGAGCAGAUAAGGACAAGAAGGAAGGAACUGUUUUAUUAUUAAUAUAAGUGAAUUGAAAUCGGUCAUAAUGAGAAUGAUGGAAAGGCAUUUUGAGAGUACAUUUGAGAAGACAAGUCCGCCGCGGUAGAAGAGUAACUCGACGCUCUGCGGAGGCUCCCACAAGACGUCAAGAGGAUGUCAAAGCAUUAUCAAAAAGGGCCGCUCUCUUGGAAGGGCCGUUUUCUUCUUGUUUUAUGGAUUUUGAUGUUGGCGAAUCCUCGACCAAAUGCUCUUGGUUACUUCCUGGGUGACAUCAAGGCGGUGCUGAAUGGCUGUGAGGACCACUGGACACUGCAGGAGAGGGCUGCGUUCCCUCUGCUGUACCGGAUGACCGUGUGCGUAAACAUCCGCGUGGUGGCUGCGGGGCGGUGGGUCGCGUUCACGUACAGCUCGGUGCAGGGGCUCACGCCGGAGCUCGGGUUGGAGGGAGAUGAUGAGGCGCUGUACGUGUGGCUGCUCCGCGUCAAACACAGAUUCCCCAUAAAACUGACGCCACAAGACUGGCACCAAGUGUGUCUGAGGAGGGACGUGGUGACCAGCUCCUUCAGCCUGGAGGUUGAUAACGAGAAGGUGGGACACAGAGUGGUGAUAGCUCAGGCCAUCCCCUCGUACGGCUCCCUGUGGCUGGGCUGUGGGCAGAGGGACACGGCUGCCGCAGCUGCCCCGGGACAACUGGAGCUUUACCUGUUCAGAGUGUGGGCGGACCUGGACCAACACCAGCCCUGUGAGGAUGGCUCUGUAAUUGGCUGGUCGUCGGAAUACUGGGGAGUGACCAGUCCCAAGGCCAGAGAGAGAGACAAUGAUCUACCCUGUGUCCACAGGAGGUUGCCUCGACAUAGGCACAGAAGAGAAGACGGUGACUUUUGCAACUGUGCAACUUUUUGCAACUAUCGAAAUCAUUUCUAUGCACAAGAGCUGGAUAUUAUCAAUGGUAAUGCUGAUGAGAGCUCCCUCCAAAGCAUUUUGACAAAAAAAGUGAUUGAAAACUGUGGAGUUAAACCAAGCGUUGAAUGCAUAAAGUCUUUAGCUGUCCUUAGGAAGCAAGGUCUCCAGAAUACGUAUGUGAAGUGCCAAACCGUAGAUGCAAGGCCUAACAGCUGCAGAAUGAUACUAGAAUUUAACAAACUGAUCACAGAGUGCUCAGCGAUCACAGCUGUACAAGCUCUUAUUAACAAUAAUGAAGCAGUCACAACGAGAGGGGAUCUAACUCAUAUGGUGGUGUGUGGUGAUUUCGAUAAACCCAGUGAUACUUUGCUGACUUCCAAUCUGGUGUGGAUUGAUAGAGGUCUAAAGACAUCUGAUAUAUGUGAAGAGAACCAAACUCACCUCACAUGUAAACCGAAUGAAAACGUCGCUGUGCUUUUGAGUGACACCUGCCAAUCAGAUCCAACCGUAACUCCUAGUACUCCAUCAGCUACAACUAUUACUGCAACUACUACCACUCAAACUCCCACUCAAUCUACUCAUGCUAUUCCAGCUACAAGUGCUAUACCUACUACUACAACCACCACUACUACUACUACUACUACUACAGCUGCAACAACCACUGUCAGUACAAAAGUAUCACAACCUAUUGUACCAUCAACCAUGCCAGUUACCACAAAAAUUACAAAUAGGCCAACAACAUCUACAAGUACAACAAAAUCAGUUACUACAUUGGGCUUAACAACUGAUACAUCACAACCUAGUACGACUGCUUUAAUAAAUGAUAAAACUACGACAAUAUUAACUUCUACAAAACGUGACACAACUACGACCCAAACGGCAUCAACUACAAAUGCAGUUAGCAAUCCAACCACAGCAAACCCAACCACGGCUACCACAAUCGAUAAAGCUACAACUUCAAUGACCACAAGUAGAGACACAACCACACUCAAGGGGUUUCCGACUACUCAACCCAGUUCAACGCCAAUCCCGACAACGGCUACCACGAUGGCUCAAACGACUAUUGCUAACUCAGCAACAUCUUCCACAGUUUACACUAUGACAGCUAAAACGUAUCAGACGAGUCCUAAUGUGAUCUCUACAACUGAAACUACAGCUAAAACUUCACCCACCUCUACGACUAUUCAGACAACACCAACGCCAUUAACAACAACUACCCAGAAUGAGACCCCAACAACAGUAACUUCAACCCAAAUACCAGAAACAACAAGUACAAGCUUACCAAAUACUACAUUGGACAAAACUACUAUGCAUACUACUAGUAUUCCAUUAGUUACUGAGGGGACUACGAUUGUUACCAGCCAAGUAACCACUACAGUACCAUAUAGUUCAUCAACACAGCAAAUUACUGACACUACACAAAAGUUGACAUCUAUUCCAAGUACGACUGAAGAAGUUCACAAUUUAACUUUGUCAACAACACCUACGCCUACUUCAAAUGAUAGUUUAGUGUCUACAAUGGGAACUGUUUCCACGACAACCUCUCCAUCCCCAAGUUCAACAACCACGGCGAGUACUUUUACUAGUCCUACGAUGUCGUCGGUAAUCACGUUGAACUAUACAACAGCUGAUAGGAUGAUAAAUAAUACUACAACAGGUAAUGCAACUACGCCAAUACUAAUAAUUUCAACCCAAAUUCCAGAAACAACAAGUACAAGUUUACCAAAUACUACAUUGGACAAAGCUACUACUAAUGCUACUAAUACUCCUUUAGUUAGUGAGGGGACUACGAUUGCAACCACCCAAGUAACAGUGUACAAUGUAACUGCUAAUGUGACGCUAGGCACUGUAACUACAACGCCAAUUUACAAUACAACUACACCAGAAACAAAUACUACUAUGGCAAUGAAUACUACUAUAAUUACUUCUACUACUGUCCUACCACUACUGAACACAACUAUGGCAAGAAAUUUCACAACAAUAGAAAUGAAAAAUACUACUAUACUAAAUAAUACUACUACUUCAAUAACUCAAAAUACAACAAUUCAAAUCAAUACCACAGUAACCGUCACAGUUACACCAGAAAUGAAUACAACAUUGAAAAACACAACAGCGACAACUCAAGCUAGUACGACUACUGUACCACCAACACGAAACAUUACAGAGCAUUUGACCACCCCUGGCAUGAAAAAUAUGACAGUUGGUACAAUCUUGAAUGGGACCACAGUCUCUCCUGCUAGCAUUGCCACGACGAGUAGCCAAACUACAUCAAGUACUGUUGACAAGACGACUACAAGCACGGCCACGCCACAAAUGAAUUUAACAAUAGAGGUAACCACUCCUGGAGCAGACCUAUCCUCUCAGGCUACUGCUAUACCAAAUACAACAAUUACAGCUACUACUACUACUACUGCUACUACCCCUUUUACUGGUAAGAGGUUUCAAUCAACUGAGGAAAGCUCCACUAGUACUACCGAUACAACACAACUGUCCAGAUCAAGUAUUCAGACCUCCACAACAUCUGCCGCAAGUACUGAGCAAACCACAGGAUCCCAACAGGAUCUGGAGGCGGAGGCUGAUAACCUUCUGUCUGAAACUGAGAAUGCAUCUCGGCUCAAUUCUUCACAGGUGUCAGAGUUAGUGGGGCAGCUGGAAAGACUCUUGGAUGGUCCCUCUGUUUCUCAGUCUAUGGGGGAAAAGGCUAUAAAUAUAAUCAGCAACCUUAUGGACGGAGAUCCACAGGCUCUCGCUGCAUCUGCGAACAGGUUGGUUCGUUUGGUGGAUAAUCUGGGUCUAAAGCUGCAGGUGUCAGGUCAAAAUGCAAUCCUCUCUUCUACGUCUCUGGUUUUGGCCGUGCAGCCUGUGGACGGGACCCAGUUUGCUACAACAACGGCCAAUAUCUUCAGCACUAACAAUGUUCAGAUCAAUGCGCGCAGAGCCAGGUCGACGAAAGCUCCUCUGGGCUCAGUGUUUUUACCUGCAUCCCUCACUGAAGGUCUGAGUCCAGAGGAGAAGCAGAGGGCCAACAGAGUGCAGUUCACUUUCUACACCAAGAGCACACUGUUUAUGGAUACAACACUAAAUGACAAAACUACACUCAGUCCAGUUCUGGCCUCCAGUGUGGCCAAUUUGUCCAUAAGAAACCUCAGGGAAGACAUUGAAUUCACAAUAAGAAAUGUCAACCCCAUAAAAAUUAACCACUCCUCUGCGUGCGUGUUUUGGGACUUCACAGAAAAUGGUGGUAAGGGGGGCUGGAGCAAUGUUGGUUGCCAUGUUGUCCGCGUUACAGCUGACGACACAACAUGUAGCUGCAACCACCUCACAUCAUUCGCAGUGCUUUUGGAUUUGUCCAGACAGGGAAUAACAGACCGUCAGCAGGCUCAGCUCCUCACUUUUAUCACCUACAUCGGCUGUGGAGUCUCUGCUGUGUUUUUGUCGGUCACCAUUCUCACAUACCUCUUAUUCGAAAAAUUAUUGCGGGACAUUCCAGCCAAGAUCCUGGUUCAGCUCUGCAUGUCUCUGCUUCUUCUAAACCUGGUGUUUUUGGUUGACGGCUGGUUGGCUCUCUUUAGCGCGAACGGACUAUGUAUUAGCACAGCCUUCUUUCUGCACUACUUCCUGUUGACAUCGUUCACGUGGGCGGGGCUUGAGGCUCUGCACAUGUACUUCAGUAUAGUCCGUGUGUUCACUCCGUACUUCAGCAAAUACAUGACCAAGUUCUCCCUUAUGGGCUGGGGUAUCCCUCUGAUUGUGGUGGUCAUUAUAAUCUCAGUGGACAAAAACAACUAUGGCCUGAUCUCAUAUGGAAGAUACACAGAUGGAACGUCAGAUGAUUUCUGUUGGCUGCGUAAUGACUUGGUUUUCUACAUUGGCGUUGUGGCCUACUUCCUCCUGAUGUUCGUCUUUUGUCUGGUGAUGUUUGUGGUGGUGAUGGUCCAACUUGCCCGAAUAAAGAGACAGAACCCCCAGAACCAGUCUCCAAACCGGGGGACCCUCUCAGACCUGCGCAGCAUCUUUGGACUGGUCAUCCUCCUGGGUCUUACCUGGGGAUUUGCCCUGUUUGCCUGGGGACCACUCUACCUGCCUUUUGUCUAUCUGUUUUGUAUCUUCAACUCUCUACAAGGUUUGUUUAUCUUUGUGUUCCACUGUGCCAUGAAAGAGAACGUCCAGAGACAGUGGAGGAUGUAUCUGUGCUGUGGUAGACUCAGGCUGCCUGAAAACUCCGACUGGAGUCGAACAGCGACCCACAACAACAAGUCCACGUCCUAUGGCAUGAUGUCGACCUCGGCAGCUCACCCCAUCGUCAGCCAAGCCUCCAUCAUCAGCGACGCCAACAGCAGCGGCUCGGUGUUUACAGACAGUGGCAUUUCUGACGGCUCAAACAGUGAUGUGGUUUGGAAUGAGCGCCACAGACUAAACAUGACUCUACAAGGGUCCCUCUGACAUCGGCUACUCACCACAACUAUAAUGCACAUAGUAACACAUGGACUAUAGAGGUUUGCACCAGCUGGGGGUACACCAAACAAUGCCAGCACAGGGUCAGGAUCUAACUGAAGUUGACAAACGUCAGACAUCAUGCGGAAUAUUUUUGUCCAAUAGAGGGACAUUUCUGGACAACUCCAAAAAGUAUGAGCCAGUGAGGCUUGGCCCUGCCCACAGCGCUAAAGUUACAUAGUGUUUUUUUAAUGUAAAAUUACUUGAUGUUUUUGAAACUAUGAAAAAGACUGAAUUACAUGUGAAUAUGUGAAAUCCUGUAUAUUAUUAUUGCUUGUAUACUUGUAAAAAGACUAAUAAUUUAUGACGUGUGCACUUUUUGCAUCAACAGUAGAAUAGUGUAUUUUAAAUACUGUUUAUACAUUGUUUUCAUAAUGUUGUGUUUUAUGGUGGUUAGCACAUUUUGCACUGUGUAGAGAUUUGUUUCUAAUGACGUAUCAGUUGAACUAAUUCACUAUAACUAAGUCAGUGUUCAGUGCUGUGUCAGUAAUGCCUAAAAUGUAUAGUCAUUUAUCCUUAAAUCUUGAGAAACUAAAACAUGCUUUCUGUGUGUCAGGACUUCUGUCUGACACACAGACAUUUCAGUGUUGAGAUGUUUUCUGCACACGAUAAAGCAGAAGUAGGUGGUUUGAGACAAACUGUAAACAUGUUAAGUACAAUGUAGAAUUAACGUUGGAAUAACACUCUCUUUAUAUAUAUGUUUGUAUUAUUUGGCCUUACCCCUCCUGAGCUCUGCAGAAGUCUUGAGUUAAUUAAAACAAAUUGGUUCUAAAUUAUUCAUUGUUUAAAUGGAAAAAAAUAAAAUAAAACUUCAGCUAAAUGUC